GAGUGAAGCGGCAACAGCUCAAAUUUGAAAUCUGGCUCCUUUGGGGUCCGAGUUGUAAUUUGCAGAGGGAGCUUUUGGCGUCGGUCGUGGUCUAAGUUCCUUGGAACAGGACGUCACAGAGGGUGAGAAUCCCGUACGUGGCCGCCGGCCUUCGCCUUGUAAAGCCCCUUCGACGAGUCGAGUUGUUUGGGAAUGCAGCUCUAAAUGGGAGGUAAAUUUCUUCUAAAGCUAAAUACCCGCCAGAGACCGAUAGCGCACAAGUAGAGUGAUCGAAAGAUGAAAAGCACUUUGGAAAGAGAGUGAAAAAGCACGUGAAAUUGUUGAAAGGGAAGCGCUUGCGGCCAGACGUGCCCGCGGUUGAUCAUCCAGGCUCCAGCCUGGUGCACUCCUCCGCGGGCAGGCCAGCAUCAGUUCGGGCGGUCGGAUAAAGGCCUCUAUCACGUACCACCCCUCGGGGUGGCCUUAUAGGGGAGGCGCAACACGGCCAGCCCGGACUGAGGUUCCGCGCAUCUGCUAGGAUGCUGGCGUAAUGGCAGCAAGCGGCCCGUCUUGAAACACGGACCAAGGAGUCUAACAUCUAUGCGAGUGUUUGGGUGUCAAGCCCGAGCGCGCAAUGAAAGUGAACGGAGGUGGGAACCCUUACCGGUGCACCAUCGACCGAUCCUGAUGUCUUCGGAUGGAUUUGAGUAAGAGCAUAGCUGUUGGGACCCGAAAGAUGGUGAACUAUGCCUGAAUAGGGUGAAGCCAGAGGAAACUCUGGUGGAGGCUCGCAGCGGUUCUGACGUGCAAAUCGAUCGUCAAAUUUGGGCAUAGGGGCGAAAGACUAAUCG
rnacentral:rRNA from 1 species